GCCAAUGUGGCACAGUGGUUUGAGUGUUGGACUACGACUCUGGAGACAAAGGUUCGAUUCCUGGCUCGGCCA